CAUGUCUAUGUCUAAGCAAAGCAUCUAUACUGUGAAACUGCGAAUGGCUCAUUAAAUCAGUUAUCAGUUUAUUUGAUAGUACCUUACUACAUGGAUACCUGUGGUAAUUCUAGAGCUAAUACAUGCUAAAAACCCCGACUUCGGGAGGGGUGUAUUUAUUAGAUAAAAAACCAAUGCCCCUCGGGGCUCCUUGGUGAAUCAUAAUAACUUAACGAAUCGCAUGGCCUUGCGCCGGCGAUGGUUCAUUCAAAUUUCUGCCCUAUCAACUUUCGAUGGUAGGAUAGUGGCCUACCAUGGUGGCAACGGGUAACGGGGAAUUAGGGUUCGAUUCCGGAGAGGGAGCCUGAGAAACGGCUACCACAUCCAAGGAAGGCAGCAGGCGCGCAAAUUACCCAAUCCCGACACGGGGAGGUAGUGACAAUAAAUACUGAUACGGGGCUCUUUUGGGUCUCGUAAUUGGAAUGAGUACAAUCUAAAUCCCUUAACGAGGAACAAUUGGAGGGCAAGUCUGGUGCCAGCAGCCGCGGUAAUUCCAGCUCCAAUAGCGUAUAUUAAAGUUGUUGCAGUUAAAAAGCUCGUAGUUGAACCUUGGGUCUGGCUGGCCGGUCCGCCUCACCGCGAGUACUGGUCCGGCUGGACCUUUCCUUCUGGGGAAUCCCAUGGCCUUCACUGGCUGUGGGUGGAACCAGGACUUUUACUGUGAAAAAAUUAGAGUGUUCAAGCAGGCCUUUGCUCGAAUACAUUAGCAUGGAAUAAUAGAAUAGGACAUGCGGUUCUAUUUUGUUGGUUUCUAGGACCGCCGUAAUGAUUAAUAGGAUAGUCGGGGGCGUCAGUAUUCAGUGUCAGAGGUGAAUUCUUGGAUUUGCUGAAGACUAACUACUGCGAAAGCAUUCGCCAAGGAUGUUUUCUUAAUCAUGGAACGAAAGUUAGGGAUCGAAACGAUCAGAUACCGUCGUAGUCUUAACAUAACUAUGCCGACUAGGAUCGGGCGGCGUUUCUAUGAUGACCCGCCCGCACCUUCCGAGAAAUCAAAGUUUUUGGUUCUGGGGGGAGU
rnacentral:rRNA from 1 species